GCAGGUGGGCAAGCUGGUGGUGGUGCAGGAAAAUAAUAAUGCUGAAUUAUUAAAAAACAAUAUUAUUUUGCAGAAUGACUCCAAGCUCAUCAUACACCCCAAACCGCGCUUGGAUUUAGAAACAGAAUUGGACUUUUCAUUUCCUUUCUCGAAUUUUGUAACAUAGAAAAUAAAAUCUUUCAUUAAACCUG